rnacentral:rRNA from 1 species
AAAUGAAUAGACGGGGACCCGCACAAGCGGUGGAGCAUGUGGUUUAAUUCGAAGCAACGCGAAGAACCUUACCUAGUCUUGACAUCCUUUUGACCGGUCAGUAAUGUGACCUUUCCUUCGGGACAAGAGUGACAGGUGGUGCAUGGUUGUCGUCAGCUCGUGUCGUGAGAUGUUGGGUUAAGUCCCGCAACGAGCGCAACCCUUAUCUUUAGUAGCCAGCAAUUCGGUUGGGCACUCUAGAGAGACUGCCAGGGAUAACCUGGAGGAAGGUGGGGAUGACGUCAAAUCAUCAUGCCCCUUAUGACUAGGGCUACACACGUGCUACAAUGGCGUAAACAAAGAGAAGCAAAACCGCGAGGUCAAGCAAAUCUCAAAAAUAACGUCUCAGUUCGGAUUGUAGUCUGCAACUCGACUACAUGAAGCUGGAAUCGCUAGUAAUCGCGAAUCAGAAUGUCGCGGUGAAUACGUUCCCGGGUCUUGUACACACCGCCCGU